GACGAACGCUGGCGGCGUGCCUAAUACAUGCAAGUUGAGCGAUGAAGAUUGGUGCUUGCACCUAUGUGAAUAGCAGCGAACGGGUGGGUAACGCGUGGGGAAUCUGCCUUUGAGCGGGGGACAACAUUAGGAAACGAAUGCUAAUACCGCAUAAUAACUUUAAACAUAAGUUUUAAGUUUGAAAGAUGCAAUUGCAUCACUCAAAGAUGAUCCCGCGUUGUAUUAGCUAGUUUGUUAGGUAAAGGCCCAACAAGGCGAUGAUACAUAACCGACCUGAGAGGGGUGACCGCCAACUUGGGAACGAGAAACGGGCCAAACCCCCACGGGAGGGCGCAGGAGGGAAACCUUGGGAAUUGACGGAAGUCUUACCGGGCAAAGCCGGGGGAGGGAAGAAGGUUCUCGGAUCGGAAAAACCUGUUUGUAGGGAAGAACGUUGUGGAUAGUGGAAAGCGCAUAAAGUGACGGUAACUACCCAGAAAGGGACGGCUAACUACGUG
rnacentral:rRNA from 1 species